rnacentral:rRNA from 1 species
GAACCGUACGAACGUUAUUCGGGAAUCACUGGGGCUUAAAGGGUGCGCAGGCGGCCUGGCAAGUUGGGUGUGAAAUCCCUCGGGCUCAACCGAGGGAACUGCGCCCAAAACUGCCAGACUUGAGGAAGACAGAGGUGAGCGGAACUCAGGGUGGAGCGGUGAAAUGCGUUGAUAUCCUGGGGAACACCAGUAGCGAAGGCGGCUCACUGGGUCUUUCCUGACGCUCAGGCACGAAAGCUAGGGGAGCGAACGGGAUUAGAUACCCCGGUAGUCCUAGCUGUAAACGAUGAGCACUGGGUUGGAGGGUCCUCCAUAGCUUUCCAGCCGUAGCGAAAGUGUUAAGUGCUCCGCCUGGGGAGUAUGGUCGCAAAGGCUGA